AGCGCGGUGACGGUGACAUAUACAAGUGGUUUUUUAUACUUUAUUCUCAGGCUUAUCAAAUACAACAUUAUUUUCACAAGCAUAAAUUGUGCCAACAACACGAGGCCAUCACACCAUCAUAUUUCACACUUGGCAUAUUGUGGCAUUGACUUAUGUGGUUAACUGCUCUUCUGUGACUUGUAUUCUUGGCCUACCAACGAGCCCGUUUCUUUCCGCCGUACAAACCGCACGAUCGUAAGACUCUUCUAGUGAAAAGCGCUCUGACGUCCGUUCAUAAUUUUCAACAAUAACGUCCAAUUCAUUUCGUAAACUAUUUAAAUAAGUACAUAGUUUAUGUAGAUUGUUGAUUAAAAACUGCUCCGUUGUGUAUUAAGAUUCGGUGAUUCUUGUUGUUAAAACACUCAAUGUGCGUUCAUACUCUUCUAAUCUACGACAAUAAAAGUCUGGCGAGUCACAAUGAGUGCGACUUUGUUCAGCAUUAAAUCAACCAAUUCACGAAAAGAGUUUUCUAAUUUAGGAAGCCAAAUGCGUGGUCCAAGAGACGCCAUU